GAUGAAGAACGCAGCGAAAUGCAAUAAGUAAUGUGAAUUGCAGAAUUCAGUGAAUCAUCGAAUCUUUGAACGCACAUUGCGCCCGCCAGUAUUCUGGCGGGCAUGCCUGUUCGAGCGUCAUUACAACCCUCAGGCCCCCGGGCCUGGCGUUGGGGAUCGGCGGAAGCCCCCUGCGGGCACAACGCCGUCCCCCAAAUACAGUGGCGGUCCCGCCGCAGCUUCCAUUGCGUAGUAGCUAACACCUCGCAACUGGAGAGCGGCGCGGCCACGCCGUAAAACACCCAACUUCUGAAUGUUGACCUCGAAUCAGGUAGGAAUACCCGCUGAACUUAAGCAUAUCAAUAAGCGGAGGA
rnacentral:misc_RNA from 1 species